rnacentral:piRNA from 1 species
UCUCAGGGUUCUGAAGGAGCUGGC